rnacentral:rRNA from 1 species
AUUGAACGCUGGCGGUAUGCUUAACACAUGCAAGUCGAACGGUAGCAGGCCUUCGGGCGCUGACGAGUGGCGGACGGGUGAGUAACGCGUAGGAAUCUGCCUCAUAGUGGGGGACAACGUGGGGAAACUCACGCUAAUACCGCAUACGCCCUACGGGGGAAAGCGGGGGCUCUUCGGACCUCGCGCUAUGAGAUGAGCCUGCGUUAGAUUAGCUAGUUGGUAGGGUAAAAGCCUACCAAGGCGACGAUCUAUAGCUGGUCUGAGAGGACGAUCAGCCACACAGGGACUGAGACACGGCCCAGACUCCUACGGGAGGCAGCAGUGGGGAAUAUUGGACAAUGGGCGAAAGCCUGAUGCAGCGACGCCGCGUGCGGGAAGAAGGCCUUCGGGUUGUAAACCGCUUUCAGGAGGGACGAAGCCACUCGGGUUAAUAGCCCAGAGGGUGACGGUACCUCCAGAAGAAGCCCCGGCUAACUACGUGCCAGCAGCCGCGGUAAUAC